rnacentral:rRNA from 1 species
GACGAACCGUGCGAACGUUGUUCGGAAUCACUGGGCUUAAAGGGCGCGUAGGCGGGCAAGCAAGUCGAAGGUGAAAUCCCACGGCUCAACCGUGGAAGUGCCCCCGAUACUGCUUGUCUUGAGGGAGAUAGGGGCGUGCGGAACUUCCGGUGGAGCGGUGAAAUGCGUAGAUAUCGGAAGGAACACCGGUGGCGAAAGCGGCGCGCUGGAUCUCUUCGACG